rnacentral:lncRNA from 1 species
GUCUUUCGUCCACUCUUCUCUCAGCGGGCGCUCCACGGCCCUGCUCUGGGCUCGCCUGAGUGCUGGGCUCUGCAGACGCAGGGAUGGGCCAGGCGAGCCCCUCACCACGGAGGUAGCAGGUCCAGAGGAAGCAGCAGAGGCUUCCUGGAGGAGGUGACAGGCGGAUCAGAGGCUGAGGGAUGUCUAGGAGUGAGCCUGGGCGGGAGGGGAAAUGAUGUUACAGGACGAACAGGCCUGUGCAGUGUGCGCGUGGGGCGGGGGAGGGAGGGAUAGGGGUGAGAUCCCAAGAUGUGGAUGAGCAGGGAGAAGCUGGGGGCGCAGGGCUGGACCCCUGCACCUGUCAUGGGCUCCGGCUGGGAUAUUAUAAAUCCCUGUGGCUGGUUUGGUUUCCGUGCCAUGUGCAUCUGUGCAUGUUGCACGCUCAUGUGAUCAUGGGGACGUGAGGCAGGUGGAUUGGGCCUGGUGCACAGACUAUUCAUCGUCGUUAAGUACGCUCCAGGCCCCUAGUCAGAGGGGCAACCAGGGGGGGCCCGCAGGGAAGACAAGGAAUCCUCGCUGUGAUGGAGAAAGACGAGGUCUGUGGGGCGGGCCGGGCGGGGGGGAAGGGGAGGGCACGGAAGGGAUGCCAUCCCUGCCGCUAGGGGCCGCGCACCUAGGCCCGCGCUGUCCGCCCCUGCUGUCUUCUGCAGGAAGGAGAAGGCACCUCUUCCUCUGGAGGGCUGCAGCCCGCCUCACCCACACUGGGGAGAAUGGGUGCGGAGAGCGAGCUGGGAUUCGAUUUCAGCCUCAGACUUGUGAGCCGGGUCCAACCCACACAACCUUCUUUAGAGAAUGAGAUUCCAGGGCAUUGGCCACUCAAAACAACCGGCCUGCAGGUGCCAAGAGCCAGUGUUAGGUCCACCCUCCCUCCCCUCUUGCCCCUUCACCUCCCUCGCGGAUGGGCAGGUGCUGUUAGCCCUUGGCCUGGAAACCACCCUGUCUCCUCAGCAGCCUCCUGAGCCGUAGUCCCCCAAAGGGCAGCCCAGCGGCAAUAUCUGUGGCCACCCCACCAGAAAGGGACUUAGAUCCCCAGAGAGCCCGGCACGGUGCUCCUGCCAUCAUCACCCCUCCUGUCCCUUGUUCAUUCAGUCAUUCAGCAAGCAUUUCAGGCCCUGUUCUGUGCCAACCCUGUGCUGGGCCUGCGGGUACCAAGGUGAAUCAGGCAUGGUGCCAGCCCCGGAGAGGUCCCUGACCUGUGGGGAGACAGACCAUUAGCACACAGACAACGAAAUGCAGGCGUCCUUUCACCUAUAUGUGCCAAACGCCCUUCAAGGCUCAAGGAUACAGUGGAAACAGAUAAGGUUCCUCCCUGCUCUCCUGCAGUUAUGUCUUAGUUGGAAGAGAUACACACAAAAGCAGGAAAACAAAAGAUUAUUUCAGGUCAUCAUAACUUCUAUGGAAAAAACAAAACAGACCCAGGUGAGAGCAAUGGGGGUAACUGUAGAGGUGAUCAGGCAAGGCCUCACAGAGGAGGUGACAUUUCACUGAAUGGCAAGAUGGAUCCUGACCCAUGAAGAUCAGGCGGAAGGGCAUUCUUGGCAAAGGGAAUGGCAAUCAAGGUGGGCCGGGGCCUGAUGACAGGGAAGGAGUGGGUGCCUCAGGUGAGGCUGGAGGGAGUUGGCAAGGCCCUGAUCACCAGGGCUUUGUAGGCCACAGCUGGGAGUUUGGAUUCUGUGUCAAGCACAAUGGUGCCUGGGACUGUGGGAUAAAGAUAGAAGCCCGUCUUGCUGCCCAAACUGACCUAUCCAACUCAGUCCCUCCUCCUCCUCCACUCUGUGGUCUUAGGAAAGUCAAUCCUAUCUCCCAGUCUCACUUUCUUAUCUGGGAAAUGGAAGAGAUAAGGAAUUUCUGAGGUUCAUUCCAACUGUAAGAUUAGUAUGUGGGCCGAAGUCUAGAGGCAGCAGAUGAAGAAAAGAAAAGAAAGGAAAAGAGGCCGGGCGUGGUGGCUCGCACCUGUAAUCCCAGCACUUUGGGAGGCCGAGGCGGGCGGAUCAUGAGGUCAGGAGAUUGAGACCAUCCUGGCUAACACGGUGAAACCCUGUCUCUACUAAAAUACAAAAAAUUAGCCGGGCAUGGUGUCGGGCACCUGUAGUCCCAGCUACUCAGGAAGCUGAGGCAAGAGAAUGGCGUGAACCCGGGAGGCGGAGGUUGCAGUGAGCCGAGAUCGCGCCACUGCACUCCAGCCUGGGCCACAGGACCAGACUCUGUCUCAAAAAAAAAAAAAGAAAGAAAGAAAAAGAAAGAAAGGAAGGAAGGAAGGAAGGAAGGAAGGAAGGAAAAAAGAGAGAAAUGGAGAGCAUGGGCCUGUGGGUGAGACUGCCUGGGUCUGAGUCUGUUCCUUCCCUUUCUAGUUAUGUGAACUUGGGCAACUCAAUCUCUGUGGCUCUAAAUGUGAAAAAUGAGAAAGGUGAUAGUACUCACCUCACAGCAUUGUGGUGAGGAUAUGAGAUGAGAUUGUGUACGCACAGCAUACAGUAUAUAGUAGCUGCAUGAGAAAUGUUAGUUAUUGUUACUAUUAUUCAAACAUAAUUCCCUGUUCACAAAACCCUGAUGGCUUUCCAAUACCCAGAAUCAAGACUGAGCCCAGGCAUCCCCCGACCUCCCCAAGGGAGAAGGAUGCCAGUUGCCAAAGUGGGCAAAUCCUUGUCUCUCAACAGUCCCCUCAGCAGAGGUCCUUCUGGCUCCUCUCAGCCUCCACCCACUUUGGGCCACUUCCCCGGGCUCCUGCAGUCCCUGGGCUUCCCUUUGCCGCAGCCCUGACCACCCUGUGUUGCCACAGUCUGCUUAUGCAACUGUCUCCCUCGUCACUCUGUGAGCUGCUGGAGGACAGGAGCCCGCUCUCCUGCAUUCCUGGAUUCUUGGCACAGGGCACAUUUGACCAAUGCUUGUUUCUGCCUUUAUUGAAGGAUUUGUACCCCUAGGAGGACUAUGUCUUCCUCAUCUUUGUCUUCAGAGGAUAAAUACAAGGCCUGACACAUAACAAGCAUGAGAUUAAUUUACCCGAGGUCAACCACGGUCCAAAGAUAUUAAAUGGAAAAUUCCAGAAAUAAACAAUGUGUAAGUUUUCAGUUGCAUGCUAUUCUGAGUAGCAGGAUGAAAUCUCGUGCUGUCCGGCUUCGUCCCACCUGGGAUGUGAAUCAUCCCUUUGUCCAGUGGAUCCGCGCUAUAGACACUACUCUCCCAUCAGUCACUCAGCAGCUGCUUCAGUUCCCAGAUCAACUGUCGCAGGAUCGCAGUGCUUCUGUUCAAGUAAUCCUUAUUUUACUUCAUUAUGGGCUCCAAAGCACAAGAGGAGUGUUGCUGGUGAUUCCGAUAUGCCAAAGGAAAGCUGUAAAGUACUUCCUUUAAGUAGAAAGGUGAAAGUACUUGACUUAAUAAGAAAAUUUAAAAAACAAAAUUGUAUGCUGUGGUUGCUAAGAUCUACAGUAAGAAUGAUUCUAUUCAUGAAAUCGUGAAGAAGGAAAGAAAUUUGUGCUAGUUUUGCUGUUGCAACUCAAGCUGCAAAAGUUACAACACCUGUGUGUGAUGAGUGCUUAGUAAUGAUGGAAAAGCCAUUAAAUUUGUGGGUGCAAGACACGGACAGAAACGUUCUGAUUGACGGCAAUCAGGUUCCAUUGGGGGUAUUGGAACACAUCCCUGAGGAUAAUGGGGGACUACUGUAUUCUACCAACUUAUUCCUCUUGAAGAAUUCCCUUUCGGAUUUCUGACUGCUGAGUCCUGGACUGGUUGAUGGCAAGGCCAGCUGCCCUGGUUGUCACCCCUCAAUUCCUAGAUCCCACGUCUUCCCCUUCUGGGUUCACUACCUUAUUUGGGGGAACAUAUACCCAUAGCUUUCUUUUUGUUUUAUUUUUUGUUUACCUAUUUAUUUAUCUUAUUUUAUUUUUUGAGACGGAGUCUCCCUCUGUUGCCCAGUCUGGAGUGCAGUGGUGUGACCUCGUCUCACUGCAGCCUCCACCCCCCAGGUUCAAGCAAUUCUCCUGCUUCAGCCUCCCAAGUAGCUGGGACUACAGGUACGUGCCACCAUGUCUGGCUAAUUUUUGUAUUUCUAGUAGAGAUGGGGUUUCUCCAUGUUGGCCAGGCUAGUCUCAAAUUCCUGACCUCAGGUGAUCCAACCGCCUUGGCCUCCCAAAGUGCUGGGAUUGCAGGCAUAAGCCACUGCGCCUGGCCCCAUGUAUACCUAUACUUUUCUAAAAGGAUGUGUUUGGGGUGAAAUCUUAAGACCUUGCCUUUCUAAAAGUGCCUCACAUUUAAUCAGAUAGUUUGACCAGGUAUAAAUUUCUAAACUGGAAAUAUUUUUCCCUCUGAAUUUUGAAGGCUUGCUCCAUUGUCUUCCAGUUUCUGCUGAAAAGUCUGAGGCCAUUCUGUUUCCUAAUCUUUUCUAGAGACUCUGUUCUCUCUUUCUGGAAGCUGUGUCCUCAGUGGGUCUUUUCUUUUAAGAGAAGGGAUCCCAUCGCCACCGAGGCUGGAGUUCAGUGGCACAAUCAUCGCUCACUGCAGCCUUGACCUCCUGGGCUCAAGGAUCCUCCUGCCCCAGCCUCCUGAGUAGUUAGGACUACAGGCUCAUACCACCAUGCCUGCUCAGCCUUAGUGUGUCUUGAAGUGAAUCGAUUUCCAUUCACUGUGCUGGGUACCCAGUGAGUCCUCACGGACAAACUAAUCAUCUUCAUUUUGGAGAAAAUUUAAAAGAAGUACCUCUAUAAUGAUUUUAUUUUUUCUUUCAGGAACUCCUUAAUUAUUCAAAUACUGGCCCUCCUGGAGCAGUUCUCUAUAUUUCUUAUAUCCUUUUUCCACCUAUUUUUCAUCCCAUUUUGCUCUUCAUUCUGGAAAUGUUCUUCAACUCUUCAACAGUUUUUUGUUGUUUUUCAAAAAUUUAUCUUAUCAUAUUUCCAAAAGCCUUUUGUUUGUUCUUUGACUAUUCCUUUUUUUAGAGUAUCUCGUUCUUUUCUCACGGAUGCAAUAUUUUCUCUUAUUUCUUUGAGGAUGUUAGUAAUGUUUUGUUGUUGUUUCUGUUGAAGUGUUUCUCACCAUGCCUAAUCUCUUCUUUGUCCAAGUUAAUUUUUUUUUCUGAUUGUUGAAAAGACAAGCCACAUACUGGGAGAAUAUAUUACAGCACAAAUAACGCACAAAGCAUUACUAUCCGGAAUACAUAAGUAAUUCUUACAAAUUGGUAAGAAGACAACUCAAUUAAAAAAGAGCAAAAGAUAUGAAUGAGCAUUUCACAGCAGAAAAAUAUGAAUGAAAAAUAAACCACAAGAAAAGAUUCUCAGCCUUAUAGAAAUCAGGAAAAUGUAAAUUAAGACCACAGGAAGAUUUUCCAUGGAAAAGAAGUCCCAUAGUGGCAAGUAUUGGAGAGGCAGGAAUCAACAGGGAUCCUUAUAUGCUCCUAAUGCAGUGUAAAUUGCUGCAACCACUUUAGAAUAUUGCGAUUUCAUUACUAAGUGUAAACCCUGGAGAUACACUUGCAUGCAAGCACCCAGAGACAGGUGCAAGGAUAUUCAUAGCAGUGCUGUUUAUUAUGGUAAAAACAUGGAAACCACCCUAAUGUCCUUAACAGUAAAAUUAAUUAAUUGUGGCAUCACCAUAUAAUGAAAUCCUAUACAGCAGUGGCAAUGAGUCUAACAUAGCUGUGGCUGGAUACAGAAGGAAUCAUAGAAUUAUAAUGCGGAGUGAGAAAAGCCUGUUGCAGAAGACUACAUACAACAGGAUUUGACACUUGUAAGGCUCCAAAACAAAGAAAAUUAAAUGAUAUUGUUUAGGUUUUCAUACAUAGGUGAUAAAAGUGUGUUUCUUUGUUUUUAAUGAGAAAAUUAGUCACAGAAUUUAAGAUCUUAGUUACUUCUAUAGGGAAGGCAGGGGAAUGGGACAAGGAGGAAGCCCACAGCAUUGGUCAUGCUCUCAUGUUGAAGUUGGGUUCAAAGGUGUUCAUUAUUAAAAUGCUUCAUAAUGAUGACCAUACAUUUGGUAUUUCUAGGACAAUCUUGGUUUACAUCUAUUGUCUCAACAUAAUUAUUCAGUGCAAGCCUUUCCUUUCUCAGAAAGGUCCUAAUGUAGAUAAUAAAUUAUUUUGGCCAACUUAUUUCUUAUAAAAUGCAACAUGCAUCUCUUUUGUAUGUAUCUAUUAUUCCAUAAUCUAUACAGGUGUUUUUGUUUUUUUGUUUUUGUUUUUGUUGUCAUUGUUGUUGUUUGUUUGUUUUUUUGAGACAAGCCUCUCUCUGUUGCCCAAGCUAGAGUAAAGUGGCACGAUCUGAGCUCACUGCAACCUCCGCCUCCGGGUUCAAGCGAUUCUUGUGCCUCAGCUUAUCAGGUAGCUGGGACUACAGGCACCCACCACCACAUCUGGCUAAAUUUUUGUAUAUUUAGUAGAGACAGGGUUUUGCCAUGUUGCCCAGGCUGAUCUCGAACUCCUGGCCUCAAGUGAUCUGCCCACCUCAGCCUCCCAAGGCUAGGAUUACGCUAAGAUUAUAGACAUAAAUCAGCGCACCUGGCCUCCAUAAUCGAUAUAGUUUUUAAUACUGGGGCCACAGCCUGGCCACAGUCUCAUGGGAUGUUUGUGGUUUGACCCUAACAACCUUGUGAACCAGCCUGGGUAACUGUCCUUGGGGCCUCAAUGAACCAAGCCCUGGAGCACCCAGUCCCCAGAUCCUUCUGGCCACUCUGACUCCCUGUGCCCUGGACCCCACACCUCACCUGUCCUGGGCCCCACUCUGUCCUCUCCUCCACUUCUCACUGCCUGUGGAGCCAUCUUCCAGGGGCCCUGAAACCUCACCCACAAUCCAGGUCCACCCAGGGCCCCUGUGCCAGGCCCCAUGCUGGGUGAUAUUGGGGAACCAUCUUGGGGGCAGCUGGAGAUGGAAACCGUGACAACCCAGUGGAUCAAGGCUAUGGCACAGACCAGGCUGUGACACUGCAGAGGAGAGGGCUUAGCCCAACCUGGGGCCCAGGGAAGGCUGCCUGGAGCUGUUUUGAAGUCUGACGGGAGUGAGCUGGGUAGGGAAAGUGGGGGGAAGAGUGCUCCGGGCAGACAGGACAAAGUGCAGACAGUAGGGUAAGGAGGCACGGUGGGGGACGCAGCUCACAUGUUGCUGUGAGCAGAGCACAGAGCACAGGGCAGUGCCUGGCAGAAGUGGGUCUGGAAAGGGUGCCUCCUGGAGCCAUGAAUGCCAAGCCCAGGGUCUUGGACUGUAUCCUGAAGGCAGCAAGGAGGCACUGAAGGCAUUAGAGCGAAGCAAGGAGAACUGUCAGGCCAGGUGAGUCAUAUCAAGUGAGGUGAGAGUGAAAUUGGGAGAGAGAAGCGGAAAGAGACAAGGCAGCAGAGACAUUUUAUUGUUCUGCUUCGUCCUGGAAACCCACUCCCUGACAGCCUCCUCCCCCUGUCCUGCACCCACCACCCCCACACCUAUCCAUACACACACUGCAGAGCCGGUAGGGGAGGAAUAGCUCUGUGGUCUUGUGUGCAGGUGCUGCUAUGGGACUUCCUGGGUUCACAUCCCAACCUUGCCACUUGUCCUACCUGUGUAACUUUGGGCAGUGGCUCAAUGUCUCCAUGUGUCCAGUUUCCCUGUAAAAUGAGGAUGAUGGAAGUACUUACCUCACUGAAGCUUAACUGAGUCACAGGGGCCUGGCACAUAGUAAGCUCUCAAUCACUGUGAGCCGUCAUGGUCACUGGGGUGACACCACCUGCUCUCCUCCAAAACAGAGGAGACUAUACCCAAGGAAGAAGAAACCAGAGAAAGGACAGGAAGGUUUGGUGGCAGCGACUAGUCUCGAGACGGCAGUCCCCAGAACAGGGCUGGAUGUGUCCCCACCAGUAGACAGGCCCAGAUGCAAGGCCUCUGAUGUGUCUGCCGCUGCAGCCUCCAUUCCUAGGGUGGUGACUCAAUAAAUAUGUGCUGAAUGAAUGAAUGAAUGAAUGAAAUGUCAUGACUUCCAGGUACCCCACUGAUGUGGUUUGACUGUGUCACCACCUAAAUCUCAUCUUGAAUUGUAGCUCCCACAAUCAGGUGUUGUGGGAGGGACGUGAAUCAUGGGGGUGGGUUUUUCCCAUGCUGUUCUCGUGAUAGUGACUAAGUCUCACAAGAUCUGAUGGUUUUAUAAAGGGCAGUUCCCCUACACACGCUUUCUUGCCUGCCACCAUGUAAGAUGUGCCUUUGCUCCUCCUUCAUCUUCCGCCAUGAUUGUGAGGCCUCCUCAGCCAUGUGGAAUUGUGAGUCCAUUAAACCUCUUUUUCUUUAUAAAUUAUCAAGUCUCAGGUAUGUAUUUAUAGCAGCAUAAGAACAGACUAAUACACCCACCUACAAAUAAAGCCCUGAGGUCUCUUCCCCGCCCUUGCUUGGGUGGGUGCAGUGAGUGGAAUGUGUAGUCCCUGAUGCACCAUCUCCGGCCCUUACAGUUUAUGGCUCCUCACUGGGCUGUGUCCAGCAACAUCUAUCCUGCUGUUUCCCCUACUCUGGGCUGUCCCUGCUCUUGCCGCUUUCCUGGGGAGUGGGUGAGGACUGAGGGACACUCAGCCCCAGCCUGGGGACCCAGGGACGAGGAGACACCUCGGGAGGGCUGGGUCACUUCAGGCAAUUACCUUCACCUCUCUAAGCCUCUUGAAAAUGGGCAGAAUGAUCCCUAGGUGUCAGAGGUAUGGAGAGCAUCAUGGGAGAUGACAUCCCUGAAGUGAGGCACACUGUGAUCUGUGUGUCAGCAUUGGCAGGCUGGGAAUAGGGUGAACCUGUGAGGCACCUGGGGUGCAAGUUCUCCCUGGGUCUGGCCCUGUGCUUGGUAAAUGCUGCCUUUUACUACAUAAGGGACAAGUCUGUCAAGAGUGCCUGAGCAAUGGCCUGCAGCCGGGCCUGGGGACAGGGCUUUCCUGGGCUGGUGAUGGUCUGAAGCCCAAGUGGCAAGAAGAAAACUGGAGCCAAGAGGCCCCUUCCACUCAGGACCAGCCUCUCCCCACCCCUCACCCCAUACUCCCCAGGAGCCCAAUAGACACAUCAUUUCUCUUCCCCUCCAUGAGUGAG